rnacentral:sRNA from 1 species
AUGAACAAUUUUUAUUUAUCAAUAAGAGUGGUACCGCGGAAAAUUCGCCUCU